GGACGGGAAUAGGACAUUUAAAUAAAAACAAAAACGAACUAAACAGGACUGAGGUAGACCAGCUUUCUAUCAUGUCUGUUAUGUUUUAGCGUUUAAACGCUACUAUCGUGAGUGAUAAUGAUCUUUAUAAAUACAUGUAUAAAUCUAGACUUUCGAGUCGAGCGUAUAGUCGGCAUAUUAGUACUAUCCAAAUGUAGGGAACGUCAUUCAGCGCAGUGACACUGACGUGGCGUAUAGUGUUGCUGGGCUUGAAUGAUAUUCCCUACAUUUGCAUUGUACACUACUUAUCUGCGGCGGCAUCAUUGACGCGACAGACGUUCGACUCGAAAGUUUACCAUUCCGGCUCAAUCAUUGCUUUUUGUCGGGGUAUGUCCGACUAGUUCAGGCGACGCGGCACUCAGUUUACUCAGACUGCUAAGCCAGCGUUGCGGAAACGGACUCACAAGGCCCUCAGACGGGUCUAAAACUAAUUAGGCAUACUCGGGCAAAAAGUAUUUGAACUGAUUUAUACAUAUUAUUUAUUUAUGUUGAGUUUAUUUUUAUUAAAUUCAAAUUCAAAAAAACGUUUAUUUCAUAUAGCCCAAUUUUUUAAAAUAAAAAUAUCGAGCAAACGAGCAGGUGGAUCACCUGAUGUAAGUGUGCCACCGCCCAUGAUCAUUUGCAGUACCAGAGGAACCGCCAACGCGUAGCCAGUCUCCAAUCGUCCAUCCAAAUUACAAAAGAUGGUUUUAAUUAGCUUUAUAUGGUCACGGAAUAAGUAAAUAAUUUAAGUGUCAUUUAAGCUAGUUAUCUGAUAAGAAAAAAUUACAGUUAUGUAAAAUUUUCUAAUGUCUCGAUUUAAAUGUAACUGAACUGCAUGAUUAAUGAUAAAAUACGAUAAUAGUAAUUAGCCAAAAGAGCGUUAUCGUUUUGCAUUGCGUUGGCAUUAUGUGUUACUUUGGCUCGAAGCUGGCCUCACUGAAAUAAAACUAAAAAUAACUAAUAAAAUAAGCAUGCGGGACUAAAAAGCAUGAAACCACAAGCAUUUUUAUUCACAUUUAUUGGUUACAUGUGUAACAUACACGUAGUACAGUGUUAUUUAAAGGGAUUAUUUAUAUUUACAUAUUCUCAUUUUAUAAAUAUGGUAGGUAUAGUAAAUAUGUAUAUAUACAAGAGAUUUUAUAAAAUUAAUUAUUAUUAAGCAGAGAGAUAAAGAUAUAUUUUUGAAAAUACAAUCUUCCUCGAUAGUAAUUUGCAACAAUCGAAAUAGACUGUUUUUACAGAGUUAGUCAUAUUAUCUUAAUAGACAAAAUAUAGAAGAGAUGUUAUUUAGGAUUAGUGUAUGCUAUUCUAGGUCACUAGUGGAACAAUACUAAAUACUAGAACAAUAUACAGCGAUGUUAAUAACUUAAAACACUUCACAACUCUACUGGAAAUAACUUAUUUUUAAUGAAUAAUAUAAAAAUAAUGAUAAUCAUUAUAAAAUAAUAUUAUAUUGUAAUAAUAAUCCUAUUAAAUAAAAAAUUAUUUAUGAUACAAGAUUAAAAAUCGUACGUUUUUAAAAAAUAUAUACAGAUACACCACAGGACAACUUAUAGUUAUGAAAUUCUAGAUGAUACAAAAAAAUCAUCAAAUAUGAAACGGAUCACUUAAAUGCUUUUAUUAAUAUAAGUUACGUUAAUUUUGCACAAAAAAUUUACAUUUUUUUUGCCUGGUGGAAGACAUCACGACUUUUACCAUUACGGUUAUUACCGUUCCAAUUAUCCAAUUUUAUAAAGUGAUUUUUCGAAUAACCUGCCAUUAAUAGUUUACCAAUUAUUAUCUAUUGAUUAAUUAUAUGAAGCUUUUCUCUUUUCUUGUCUGUAAGCAAAUCUUUAUGUGUAUUCUAUUUUCAGAAUAUAUAGUAGUAAAUUAAAUAAUUAAUUAGUUCUUGCAAUGAUCUUUUCUAAAUUAAGUACUUACGUAUUACAUCAUUAUUAACAUCGAAAGCGUAGCUUUAUACUGAAUACACAAAUACUUCCCCAUAAAUGCUGUCACUUAUAAAUCGAAAUGUAAUUUUUGCCGCAUUUGUGUACUCAGUCGUUAACCGUCUUAGUUUUAAAAUUAUCGUAUUACACCUAAACAUUUCGCCAACAUCUUUCCACCUUAAACUAUCAUACUUAGCAAAUGAAAAGCGAUUGUACAAAUCAAAUUGGCCCCACAUAUUUAAAAAUUAACAUUCUAAAUCAUACUGUCAACUCGUAACUAAAUGGACGACAGCUCAAUCACUAUUUGUUGAGAAAUGGUAGGGUAAAGUGUGUUUUAUAAUUUUAUUAUUAUUUAAUACUAGAGUAAACACUAGAUACGCGAUUAUAAGUUACACCUACUGGAUUCGCAAUUUAACGUGCUUUACUAGAGAUUGCAUAAAUGUAAGAAUAUAAUUUAAGAACAAACUUUAUUCAUUUUACUUGAAUAGAUAAUAAGAAAUUGUACGUGUAUUACCAACGUUACGCGUGAGAAGCCGACUCUACUUAUACAACAUGUUAGCGAAUACUCUCAAGGUCUGGGUCCACUAACUAUACCUACUCAAACUCACGUUACUCUUACAUAUUUCAUACAAUUCAAUUACCCCAGGUCGUGUAUCCAGUCUCUCAUCUUAACACUAACCGAAUGAGUAUUAAUAACGAUUGGUCUUACGUCUAUCGAUAUUUAAAUACUAUGCAGACUUUGUGUAUUGUAUUAUUACGACGCUACAUAUAUUAAACAAGGCGAAAAAGGAAUCUAUUUUUUUUUUGUUAUUUAUGACAAUUAAAUUCAUUACUCCUACUAUGCAAUUGUGACAUAGUCGUAUUCACGUACAAUAGCUUGUUCGAUUUAAGAAACUCUCUAGGUUUUACUAUCCAGACGAAUAUUGUUGCUAUGAGAAAAGAUGUCACAAACUCAAACUACCCUAUCGACGCUCACGUGGUCAUGUCUGCGUAGUUGAUUUAAUUUUAUUCGAAUGUAGCCUAUACGGUUAUUUGAAUAAAAAUUGAUAUGUUUAGUGUUUUAUAGUAUCAGCCGAGUUAAAUACUCACCGCCUUGAUGUUUGACGCAGAUUUGACCACGGCACAUUGCAAGUUAUCGCAAAAGACUGCUACGGUUAGCUGUGGCCGUUACGUAGAACGAAUAUUAAUCCGGUCUCUUAAAUUACAUCCAAUAUCCGAUGUAAAGCGAGAUUAUUAUAAUAAUAUAACUAACUACGAAUCAAUUCCAAAGAUUUCUUGAACACUAAGGGAUUAACUACGUGAUUAUUAAUAAUAAUAAUUUUACUAAUCAAUUAACCUCCAAUAAAUACGAGACAUGAAUUGGCAGUAUAUUAUUGCGAUAAUAGUUUUCGUUAUGGUGGUUACAUAUUUAUUAUUACUUAUUAAUACAAUAUGAGUAUAAUGAACGUUAGUUUUGCGUCGAACUUUGCGCUUGCGGAAUAACUCCUUAUUGAUUGCUAUAAAAAAUAUUUAGUAUGAUUAAAGAUAUGAUAGUAUAACAGCAUGCAUACAACAAA